CGCCAUGGUGUGGUUCUCCUUUCAACAGGAAUUAGAGCUUCAUCCUCCUCCCCUGGAAGGUGCACUGAAUUUCGUGACUUGCUUUUGAUGAACAGAAUGUGGUAAAAGUGACAGUGUGUGACCUCUGAGAUUGAGUCAUAAAAGGCAUGGUGGCAUCUUCCUUGCUCUCUCUCUGAUUACCUGCUCUGGAGGAAGCUGGCUGCUAUGUCAUAAAAACACUUAAGCAGCCCAAUGGAGGAGGCCAUGCUUGAGGAACCAAGGCCCCUGCCAUAGCUGUGUGAGUGAACCAUCUUGGAACUGGAUCUUCAAGUUCCAAACAAGCUUUUGGAUGACUGCAGCCCUGGAGGACAUCUUGACUGUAACCUCCUAAGAGACUCUGAGCCAGAAUCACCCAGCUAAACUGCUCCUGAAUUCCUGUCCACAGAAAUUGUGAGAUAUGUCUUUGCAGAUAUAGUUAGUCAAGAUGAAGUCCUAAUGGAUUAGGAUGGGCCCAAAUUUCAAGGCCUUAUGCCAUGAGAAGACCCAGAGACACACACAAGAGGAAGGCCAUGUAACAGUGAAGUCAGAGGUUGGAGUGAUGGAGCUGUAAGCCAAGAAAGGCCAAGGAUUGCUGGCAACCACCAGAGGCUGGAAGAGGCAAGGAAGGUUCUUCCCUAGAACCUUCAGAGGGUGCAUGGCCCUGCUGGCACUUUGGUUUUAGACUCCUGGCUUGCAGAACACAAG
rnacentral:lncRNA from 10 species